rfam:Hordeum vulgare subsp. vulgare, WGS project CAJW01000000 data, contig: morex_contig_39656
AAUAUACUCCCUCCGUCCGAAAAUUCUUGUCGUAGGUUUGUCUAAAAAUGGAUGUAACAAAAUACUAAAAUGUGACUAGAUACAUUCGUAUCUAGAAAAAUCUAAGACAAGAAUUUUGGGACAGAGGGAGUAUUUU